GGAGAGGUGGUUGAGUUGGUUGAAGGCGCUCGCCUGGAAAGCGGGUAGACGAGUAUAUCGUCUCGCGGGUUCGAAUCCCGCCCUCUCCG
rnacentral:tRNA from 1 species